rnacentral:tRNA from 1 species
GGUGACUCAGUGGUAAAACUUCUCUUUGGCAUGCAGAAGGUCCCAGGUUCAAUUCCUGACAUCUCCA